UUUGCUAAAAGUAUUAUAUUAUUGAUCAAUUGACUAUGUGUAAUGAACACGAAGGGAGACGGAGCUGGUUUCAAGCGCAGGCGCAGCAGCAAGUGGAACAGAAGACUGAGGGGAAGGAGACAUCACACAGACCAUCCAAGAUCCCAACGGAGCGGAGAGGUCAGCACUAUUGACACAGACUCAUCCAAGAUCCCAACGAGUGGAGAGGUAGCACUAUUGACACGACUCAUCCAAGAUCCAACGAAGCGAGAGGUCAGCACUAUUGACACAGACUCAUCCAAGAUCCAACGGAGCAGAGAGGUCAGCACUAUUGACACAGACUCAUCCAAGAUCCCAACGGAGCAGAGAGUCAGCACUAUUGACAGACUCAUCCAAGAUCCCAACGGAGCAGAGAGUCAGCACUAUUGACAGACUCAUC